rnacentral:rRNA from 1 species
AUUGAACGCUAGCGGGAUGCCUUACACAUGCAAGUCGAACGAGUGGCGAACGGGUGAGUAAUGUAUCGGAACGUGCCCAGUAGCGGGGGAUAACUACGCGAAACGUAGCUAAUACCGCAUACUAUUGGAGCGGCCGAUAUCGGAUUAGCUAGUUGGUGGGGUAACGGCUCACCAAGGCGACGAUCCGUAGCUGGUUUGAGAGGACGACCAGCCACACUGGGACUGAGACACGGCCCAGACUCCUACGGGAGGCAGCAGUGGGGAAUUUUGGACAAUGGGGGAAACCCUGAUCCAGCCAUCCCGCGUGUGCGAUGAAGGCCUUCGGGUUGUAAAGCACUUUUGGCAGGAAAGCGGUACCUGCAGAAUAAGCACCGGCUAACUACGUGCCAGCAGCCGCGGUAAUACGUAGGGUGCAAGCGUUAAUCGGAAUUACUGGGCGUAAAGCGUGCGCAGGCGGUUCGGAAAGAAAGAUGUGAAAUCCCAGAGCUUAACUUUGGACUGCAUUUUUAACUACCGGGCUAGAGUGUGUCAGAGGGAGGUGGAAUUCCGCGUGUAGCAGUGAAAUGCGUAGAUAUGCGGAGGAACACCGAUGGCGAA